rnacentral:rRNA from 1 species
GACGAAGGGGGCUAGCGUUGUUCGGAAUUACUGGGCGUAAAGCGAGUGUAGGUGGUUGUCAUAGUCAGGUGUGAAAGCCUUGAGCUCAACUCAAGAAAUGCACUUGAUACUGGGCAGCUAGAGGACCGGAGAGGAUAGUGGAAUUCCCAGUGUAGUGGUGAAAUACGUAGAGAUUGGGAAGAACACCAGUGGCGAAGGCGGCUAUCUGGACGGUUUCUGACACUAAGACUCGAAAGCGUGGGGAGCAAACAGG